AUUGAACGCUGGCGGCAGGCCUAACACAUGCAAGUCGAGCGAGCGGCGGACGGGUGAGUAAUGUAUGGGGAUCUGCCCGAUAGAGGGGGAUAACUACUGGAAACGGUAGCUAAUACCGCAUACUAUCUGAUGAACCCAUAUGGGAUUAGCUAGUUGGUGGGGUAAAGGCUCACCAAGGCAACGAUCCCUAGCUGGUUUGAGAGGACGACCAGCCACACUGGGACUGAGACACGGCCCAGACUCCUACGGGAGGCAGCAGUGGGGAAUUUUGGACAAUGGGGGAAACCCUGAUGCAGCCAUGCCGCGUGUAUGAUGAAGGCCUUCGGGUUGUAAAGUACUUUUGGCAGAGAAGCGGUAUCUGCAGAAUAAGCACCGGCUAACUACGUGCCAGCAGCCGCGGUAAUUC
rnacentral:rRNA from 1 species